GCCUGUCCCAAUUCGAAGACUCCUUCAAAUGCGGUCGACGAAUGCGGCCUUCUUUUCGCCUGAAUGAAGGAUGGGUCCGGUGUAUCCUUCAAUAGGUAGCAUUUCCCAAGAUGCCUUUUGGGCCAGCCGGCAGAAAAACUUAAAAACAAUGGCGGACAGUGAAGCGGGAGCUGUCGGAGAGGAUUGCGCAUAUAAAUGAACAAAAGAGAAAACCAGGGAAUUUAUUAAGCUUAGGGCGGAGAUGGACCACAUGAUCACCGGAGCAAAGUAUUCAGCGGCUGUGGCAUGGAGACUAUUCUGGAGAAAAUGGGCAUCCAGGGGAAGGUGCCAGCGAUGACCAGCUUCUGGAGCUGAUCUGGGAGGACAUGAGGCUGCAGAGGGCACAGGAGAGAAGGAAGAACUUUGACAGCUUUUUACUUUGCUAGAAAAAAAUUGUUAAGGAAGAUUAAACAUGUACAUAUAAAAGAAAUAUCUAAAUAAAAUCAGUUCUGCAUUAAACUCUUGAAUUUUAUUUUUGUUUACAAAUGAGAAUUGUUUACUAGAGGGUAUCCGCUGGGUCUUGAAAAGUCUUAAA